CAUCACACAUUCCCCAAGCCAAGGACCAGAAUGGAAACUUUGCUGCAAAGGAGACCAGCAGGCAGAAGUCCAAACCUCUGGCGGAGCUCAACACGGAGGAAGUCUGCCUGUGGUUCAGCAGCAUUGGACUGCAGAAGUGUCAGCCCCUCAUUAGAGAUGCAGAUCUGUGUGGAUCCCAUUUUACCUCCAUCAAUCUGAACACUCUGGAUCUGCUGCAGCUGUCCAGUGUGGAGGAGCGAGAGCGGCUACUGUCUGCCAUCUACCAGGAGCUCCACCCUCCAGACAGCCUGUCUCAGAGAGUGGACUGCCUCCUGGGUAAAAUGCCCUCCGACUGCAUAUCAUAUAGUGGUUGGGUUUCUCAAAUGCCAUCUCAUAAAAAAUACAUUCAGUUCAAAUGUAGAAAUGAAAAUGGCUGAAUUAUUUUCUUCUGAUGUUUCCUCCUUGCAUCACAGAGGCCUUUGGCACGCACAACGUGGAGAAAUUCGCUGCUGCCUUGGUGACGAUGAGCAAGUCACAGUCCUCCCCUCUCAUCAGCUGUGCCAACCAGAAUCGAGCUUCAGUCAAGUUCAGACCAAGUAUAUUAGUAGCACAGAGGAAUUCGCAACUCAUCGAAAUAACAAUAAAUGCAAUGGAACAGAUUGUCCACCUCAGGACCCCCCGGGACACAACGGUUGGCAAAGUGAAAGAGUCCUGCUUUAAAAUGCUGGGUGUGAAAAUCGAUAAGGACGCCCACAUCUUAAAAUGCAGAGAGGAUGAACUUUCCCCGGAAAAGCAUAUCGGUGACCUGCCCGGCUCUGAGAACCGACUCGUGGAGCUGCACUUGUGCAAAAAGGAAAAACAUAAGGAAGCAGAACUUGCAAACUCCAAAGACAGUCAGGAGAACGGCACAGAACCCCGGAACCUGAAGCACAACAGUGAGAAGAUUCGCGAACUGCACAAACAGGUUGACUCCCUCCAAAACGCCAUCCUACAGGUCCAAGAGCUCCACCAGGGGUUGGUUGCUUUCUGCAAUGAGCUGAGAGGCAUGGAAACUGAAACAGAAACUGAGGGGCUGAACACAGUGGAGCUAGAGAGGCGUGUAGCUGAGGCUCGAGGCCAUCUCACAGAGAAAAGGCAGAGCCUUCAGGGGUUGAGGGAGAAACUCAGCAGCAUGUCCUCACCCAAGAACAGGCAGGCAGAGGGCCAUCUGACGGACAAAAUGAGACUGAAUUGCCUGGUGUUUAAAGAGGAGAUAACGCUCGUCCACCUCAAUCGGCAGGUCAACCACCUGCAAUCGGCCCUAGAGGAACAACAAGCCAAGGAGAAAACAGAGAGGAAGUGCUGCUCCACCCUCGGCCAGCUGUUGUCAUUCCAGUCCCCUGCCAUGCUGCUGGCCACCCAAGAGACGAGGGCUUCAGACGGAUAUGGCUUCGCUGCUCAGCAUGUACCUGGACAGGGCCUGGUGGUGGUGAGGGUGCAGGACUCUCAGAUCUGUGUUGGGGACAGACUGGUGGAGGUGAAUGGGGUUAGCGUGGUGGGGAGCAGUGAGGAGGAGCUGACGGUUCUUCUCCAGCAGCCAACAGCUCACAUUGUUGUUCUGCGGAGUCCUGCUCCUGAGACGCCUGCCGUGGGCAGCACCGCCACGCCUGAGCUCCUGCUCAACACUGUCCCCUGGAGCCAGGAGGUCAGCACUGCCACAUCAAGGUGUCCACUACCUGUUUGAUUUCUCUGUUCGAUGAUCACUUUUGUUAUUUAGCAUGUCCACGUGAAAGAAAAUCAUCAGACUCUUGGGGUAGAAUCUGGUGUGAUGAUGUCUUAAAGCUUGACUGCAUUACAUAGAGUUAUGUGAUAGAUCUGAACUAUAUGUGCUUUGCAUAUGGUGACUUAAAGGGAACCAAGGCCACUUUACAUAAUAAAAUGCACCCAUGACAUAUGCUCUGGUCA
ensembl:lncRNA